rnacentral:rRNA from 1 species
AGGAUCCUACGGGGGGCAGCAGUGGGGAAUAUUGCACAAUGGGGGAAACCCUGAUGCAGCGACGCCGCGUGAGUGAAGAAGUAUUUCGGUAUGUAAAGCUCUAUCAGCAGGGAAGAAAAUGACGGUACCUGACCAAGAAGCCCCGGCUAAAUACGUGCCAGCAGCCGCGGUAAUACGUAUGGGGCAAGCGUUAUCAGGAUUUACUGGGUGUAAAGGGAGCGUAGGCGGCAGGGCAAGCCUGAUGUGAAAGCCCGGUGCGCAACCACGGGACUGCAUUGGGAACUGCCACGCUCGAGUG